GACGAACGCUGGCGGCGUGCUUAACACAUGCAAGUCGAACGGAAAGGCCCUGCUUGCGGGGUACUCGAGUGGCGAACGGGUGAGUAACACGUGGGUGAUCUGCCCUGCACUUCGGGAUAAGCCUGGGAAACUGGGUCUAAUACCGGAUAGGAGCCAUUUUUAGUGUGAUGGUUGGAAAGUUUUUUCGGUGUAGGAUGAGCUCGCGGCCUAUCAGCUUGUUGGUGGGGUAAUGGCCUACCAAGGCGGCGACGGGUAGCCGGCCUGAGAGGGUGGACGGCCACAUUGGGACUGAGAUACGGCCCAGACUCCUACGGGAGGCAUCAGUGGGGAAUAUUGCACAAUGGGCGCAAGCCUGAUGCAGCGACGCCGCGUGGGGGAUGACGGCCUUCGGGUUGUAAACUCCUUUCGCUAGGGACGAAGCUUUUUGUGACGGUACCUAGAUAAGAAGCACCGGCUAACUACGUG
rnacentral:rRNA from 1 species